GUGCUCACUUCGGCAGCACAGAUAUUAAAAUUGGAACAACACGGAGAAGAUUAACAUGGCCUCCCACGCAAGGAUGACACGCAGAUUUGUGAGGCCGUCCAUAUUUUC
rnacentral:snRNA from 1 species